AUACUUUUCAGUAACAAUAGGCUCCAGGACCAUAAUGACCGAACCUUGUGCAGUGAGAAUUUGGUUGAUGAGGCUUCAAAGAGAAAGAGUGGAGACAAUUUGUCUGCAGUUGUGAUUUGCUUCCAGCAGCAAUCUCCUCGCAACAUGGUGGCCCCUCGGUCUAGAGUGCACUGGAGCUUCUCUACUUAAGGUUUGAAGGAGUUGCAGAGUUUCCUUGAUAACUUGGGAUCUUGUGGAACUGUGUAUCAUGCUUUGUGGUAUGGAUCGGUUGUUGAGUAUCGUGGUGUGAAUGUAAGGCGUAGUGUUACUGAUCUGAUAUGAAGGAAGCAAAAUAUCGUUCGAAAGGCAAAGAUUGCUAUUUAGGUACUUCUUGGUCUUGAUGUACUUACAGGUUCAUCAGUGGCUGUUUUGGUCUUGGAGUUGUUGGGUUAGCUGUAGCAACUUUAUAGAUUAUUUGAAAGGUUGAUCUUUGGAGGUUACAUAGAUUAUUUAACUACGAGGCAAGUUUGUCAUGCUUUCUUUUUGGAAAAUUAUCAUUCUUAGUAUAAUAUUAGUUUAUUAAUUUGAUGUCCCAAUUCUUUUUCUUG